UGGCCGACAAAAGUUUCGAAAAAGGAUCCUUAAUUAACGUUUAAGAAAAUGGUUGAAACAGACGUUUUAAAAUUAUUCGUUUAUUCAUUUACUCUUAAAAAGUAAUGGGAAUAGGGCUUUGUGUGAAGAUGUAAAUGUGUAGUAAGCAUUUCAUUUUGUGUGGGGGAAGGGGAGGAGGGUGAUGGCCCGAGACCACAAUUA
rnacentral:lncRNA from 1 species